GAUUUUGUAGGUUCAUUAAUCAAGUCUUGGCCGAAGAACUUGACAAGUUUCCAACAAUUAAAGAUCCAGAUCAUGAAAUUGCAUUUCAAUUAUUUGCGAAAGGAUAUCAAUUGCUAG
rnacentral:rRNA from 1 species